rnacentral:misc_RNA from 1 species
GAUGAGAACGCAGCGAAAUGCGAUACGUAAUGUGAAUUGCAGAAUUCAGUGAAUCAUCGAAUCUUUGAACGCAUAUUGCGCUCUCUGGUAUUCCGGAGAGCAUGCUUGUUUGAGUAUCAGUAAACACCUCAACUCCCUUUUCUUUUUUGAAAUUGGAGCUGGACUUGAGUGAUCCCAACGCUUUCUUCCAAGAAAGUGGCGGGUUGCUUGAAAUGCAGGUGCAGCUGAACUUUUCUCUGAGCUAUAAGCAUAUCUAUUUAGUCUGCCUAAAAAACAGAUUAUUACCUUUGCUGCAGCUAACAUAAAGGAGACUAGUUCUUGUGCUGACUGAUGCAGGAUUCACAGAGACAGCUUCGGCUGACUUUGUAAACUCGAUCUCAAAUCAAGUAAGACUACCCGCUGAACUUAAGCAUAUCAAUAAGCGGAGGA